GGGGGUGACAUGGCUUCGACGUGGGUCGCGAAACUCCAGGUGCAUGCCGAGGAACAGAUAACCUCGUAAAUCCAGCUGUAAAACCUAUAGUUGCCAACGACGACAACUACGCACUAGCUGCUUAAAAACCAGCCUAGCGCCCUCUGACCGGCACGUGCCUGUGCGUUCGGAACUCAGGGGUCGACUCCACAGGACCGCGACCAGCGUUUGUUCAGGACGAAGGUCGUCAAAUCCUUACUGAACUGGCUAUGAGUCUUCCCUGCCCGUCGGGUAGCUGAUAGUGAGAUCAACGACGGAAUAAGCAUGUAGACCUUGGGGCAGAGGAUUUGCGGACGUGGGUUCGAUUCCCACCACCUCCACCA
rnacentral:tmRNA from 1 species